CCGAAACUGACGACGGACGUGGCCGUCCUCAUCCCGGGUAGUUCAGUUAACGGUCGGAAGCAAACUACUUUAGGCUCCCGUUGCUGAAGGAUUAGAGUUUUCAUUCUAUUGAUCCGGUCUGCAAGUUUACUGCAAAAUGGCGACUCCCGAUCACUUAAACAUGUUCUGGCCCAACAUUGCUAUCUGGGUAAUCAUCUUGGUGUUUUAUAUAUUUUAUUGUUCGUCUUGGGUCAUUGAUCAGUGCAAGAACUUUUAUCGACGCAAGAAAUGUGCGAAGUGUCAUCAUACUUGUGAGAUGGCAAGAUACCAAGAUUCUUGACGCUCAACCGAGCGUUCUUACUAAAAGUGGUAUGUUGAUUAAGGAUUUUAAGCAGUAAAUUGUAUGAAUGACUCUAUUACUGCUGUAGUUAAUACAGUUUCACCUUUGGAAUUACUGUUCCAUUGCUUUCAUUUCGGUUAUGACUUGAGAGUCUGGAAAGUAUGUGGCUACAGGUACUUUGUGUUACAGGUACUUUUUGUGUUAAUUCAGUCCUUCUAAUUUUGAUUAUUGAUUAUAAGGUACAUGCAGCUAUUAGCAGUAAAUCCUUUGUAUUUAAGUCUUGUAUUAUUAGCAAAGAUUUUUUUAUAAACCAAAGAUUCUAUGUAGUUAAAUGUUAAUUAUAGACCAUUUAAAUUACCAAAGAUUUUUAGUUUAUAAGCCGAACAGGUUAAAUAAUUAAGCUGUUAAAGUAUACGUAGACACUUUUAAGUUGUUUUGCCAAAUAAUGCUAGAAUAGCUUUAGCUAUAUAUAUUUAAAAGUAUACGUAGACACUUUUUAAGUUCUGCCAAAUAAUGCUAGAAUAGCUUUAGCUAUAUAUAUUUAAUCUUUAAGAGCGAACUAUGUAUGGAACUCUAAUCCCAGCAAACUGGAUUUUCAACUCUUUGAACGUUAUGGCUGGUGCAGUUUUUGUACGUUUUCUUGGAGAGUGAUUCUACUUAAACUGCAGUUUGGCUGGACUCUGAUUUUUACUAAGCCUAUUACUUUGUGAAGUAAUUUGACUUUUAACCAAGACUGUGUCAAUUUGUGUAGGGAUAGAUAAGACUUUUAAGUUCAUAUUUUAUUAUAAACGAACUAAACCUUUAUCAUAAUGUUAAAUGUGAGUGCCGUUUUUCUAAGUCUCGGUUGGGGAGACAAAUACUAUAACUGCUCUAUGCCCUUAUCUUUUUUAAAAAUCUCCUAAUGAUUUCCUAACUGUUGAACGUUGCAUUUGUAGUUUCAUGCAGACUACAGAAAUUGCUGUUGUAUUUUUAUGUAUUACUGUAUUUUAUCUUUGCAUUAAAGGAAAUAAAAUAUAUUGCAUUAAAGGAA